rnacentral:rRNA from 1 species
AGAGUUUGAUCCUGGCUCANCACUCNACGCUGGCGGCGUGCCUAACACAUGCAAGUCGAACGAGAAAGUGGAGCAAUCCAUGAGUACAGUGGCGCACGGGUGAGUAACACGUGACUAACCUACCCUUGAGUGGGGGAUAACUGAGGGAAACCUUAGCUAAUACCGCAUAAUACCUACGGGUCAAAGGAGCAAUUCGCUUAAGGAGGGGGUCGCGGCCGAUUAGUUAGUUGGCGGGGUAAUGGCCCACCAAGACGAUGAUCGGUAUCCGGCCUGAGAGGGCGCACGGACACACUGGAACUGAAACACGGUCCAGACUCCUACGGGAGGCAGCAGUGGGGAAUUUUGCGCAAUGGGGGAAACCCUGACGCAGCAACGCCGCGUGGAGGAUGAAGUCCUUCGGGACGUAAACUCCUUUCGAUCGGGACGAUAAUGACGGUACCGGAAGAAGAAGCCCCGGCUAACUUCGUGCCAGCAGCCGCGGUAAUACGAGGGGGGCGAGCGUUGUUCGGAAUUAUUGGGCGUAAAGGGUGCGUAGGCGGUUUGGUAAGUCUGAUGUGAAAUCUAUGGGCUCAACUCAUAGUCUGCAUCGGAAACUGCCGGGCUUGAGUGUGGGAGAGGUGAGUGGAAUUCCUGGUGUAGCGGUGAAAUGCGUAGAUAUCAGGAGGAACACCUGUGGCGAAAGCGGCUCACUGGACCACAACUGACGCUGAUGCACGAAAGCUAGGGGAGCAAACAGGAUUAGAUACCCUG